CAUGAGGACAGGUCUCCUGUUCUCAGUAGCCUGGGGUCUGGGCAGGGACAGUUACAUAAAUCCAUCUUUGGAGCCAGUGUGAGAAGACCAGAGAUAAGCAUGGCAGGAUUUUUAUGGGAUCUGAGAUAACAAGUCUCUAACACUGGGGAGGGGAAAUAUGCAGGAGGCUUAGGGUGACUUCUGGAUGAAAGGACAUUGGACUGAUUCUUCAAGGCUUUGACUAGGAGAGAAGAGGAAUUGAGGUGCUGAGCAAAGCUCUCUAGAGUUCCAGGAUCUGGCUCAUGCAAGAUCAAGAGGAUCACAAGUAGGCCAGAAAGAGACCUCCAGAAAUCCUGCCUGUUUUGUGGCCUCCUGGGCUGGCUCUUGGAACAUGUGGCUGUUUUGCAAACACAAAGAUGAACUGUCUGUUCUGUGGCUCCCCACUCUGGCAGACGACCAGGGAUAUACCUGCUCAGAUUGACCCUGCAGCUGGAGGAGUCUGCUUUUAGGACAGGGUUCAUCCCUCUAAGGCCUGAACAGAGCUGGGCUCCAAGUGUUAAGACUGCAUAAAGCAUUUGAUGAAAAGCAAUGAGCAUUGGUGGCCAACUGCGUUAAGCUGGAGGACACAGCCGCUUGGAAAUGAGGCCUUCCCUAAAAAGAACCGAGGCCUGGCACAUGAUUUACUGAAGGGGUAUCACAUUUUAAAGAUUGAAACUACUGACAUUAUCAGCUGACCUUCCUAGAAGACCACAUCUACAUGCAGAGUGUGAGGCAGCCCCUGGUAUUUUCAAGGUGCUGUCUCAGUGGCUUCCCAGCACAGCUCUCCAUGAUAGGCAGGGUGGACAUGACUACUCCGAUUGUAGAAAAUGAAAGUUCUCAAUUCCAAAGCGGUCCCCAAGGAAACUCUCAGAAAACCAAGUCAAGUGGACUGCCAUAGAGAGACACUGCCUGGAUGAAACAGUUAAAUGCUGCGCUCAGGUUAACAAAAUCAAGUAACUAUGGUAUUAUUCUAAAGCCCUUCUUUCAUAUUGUCUUUUUUCUUUUAGUUUUACCUUUUUUUUUUCCUACCUGGGAUUGAACUCACCACCCCAUGCUGGCCUGGCAGGCACUUGUGCCACUGAGCUAAGUCCCCAGCAGUUUUACCUUAUUUUUGAUUGGUGUGUAAUAAUUGUACAUUCUUUUGAUUGUAAUUGUUGCUCAGUUAUACAGACUGGCUGACCUCUUUUUUGAAAUGGGGUCUCCCUAAGCAGUUCAGGCCAGACUUAAGCUCACUGUGUAACACAGGCUGACUUCAGCCUCAUGGCAAUACUCUUGCUUCAACCUUGCAAGCUCUGGGAUUACAGGACUGUACCACCAUGUCUGGCUUUAGACUGGCUGAACUCUUGUCCAAACCCUGCCUUUGUUUGUCUUUAAGAACAGGAUGUUUAUGAGCAACAGUCAUGUGUGACCAGAUCCAUUGAAACGGAGACUCAAGAUGACCACUUAAAUGACCUCUAACAGACCUCAAACCCCAUUUUAAUUCAAUCUCCGUGCUAGAUGACACCCCCAGAGCCAUGAAAUUUGACAGCUAGCAGGAGGAUGGUGUGUAAGAAAAGCAAUAGGAACAAAAGAGGCAGCCCUGCAAUUCCUAGCAAAUCUCUACUUAUUCCCUGAAAAAGACAUAAAUAUUUCUCCCCCUUACAGCUUUUCCUCCUCCUCAUUCCUUUUGCCCUGUAUCUGGGCAGAGAUGAGAAUUUGACUUGUGAACUAGGCCAGCACUUCUCUAUUCUUUGACCACUGAAUAAAUUUAUGCUGUUGGCAAUCA